rnacentral:lncRNA from 7 species
GAAAAACAGACUAAGCGCGGACCGUCCUGGCCCUUGCGGCGGACCGUCCGCAACACCAGGAUGACCCUCGGACAGAACCAAUGCAAAAAAACCCAUGUCUACACUACGGACCGUCCGGAGGGAAAGCAAGGACAGUCUGAGUACACGCGCGAACCGUCCGGUAGGUGAGGAACCGAAAACCCCGAAGGUGAUGGGUUCGGUAAAAUGAAUUAUAGCGUCCUCGCGGACCGUCCGGAUGCAUGACCGGACCGUCCGUGACUGCCUUUAUCUGACAUCUGACGACGCAUUAAAUGCAAAAUAGUCGUUGAUAUAGCCGUUACUGCUGACCGUUGCGUUUUCAGCCGUUGAUGUGCAGGGGCGGACCGUCCGGACCAGGGGCGCGGAUCGUCCGCGGUCAGUAGAAAUGGAGCAACGGCUAGGAAGUGGUUGGUGGCUAUAAAUACAACCCCAACCACCUCCAUUUAAUACACCCAAGCAUUCCAAUCCUCUACAUUUAAUACAAGAGCAAGCAAUCUAUUCCAAGACACAAUCAAAACCUCCAAUCUCUCUAAGUUACACAAUUGAGACAAGUGAUCAUUAGUGAUUAGUAACUUGAGAGAGAGAGAGAUCCGUGUGUUAUUUGUCGCUCUUGUCGCUUGGUGUUUUCAAUCGUGCUUUCUUCAAUUCCCAUUCUUAUUCUCAAGUGACUUGUAAUCAAAGUAAGAGACACCAAGUUUGAUUAAGGAGAAAGCUCACUUGGUCUAGGUGACCGUUUGAGAGAGGGAAAGGGUUGAAAGAAACCCGGUCUUUGUGACCACCUCAACGGGGAGUAGGUUUGCAAGAACCGAACCUCGGUAAAAUAAAUCACCGUGUCAUCCGCUCUAUAUUUCUUGGUUGAUUUGUUUUCGCCCUCUCUUUCGGACUCGUUUUUAGUUCUAACGCUAACUCCGGCUUGUAGUUGUGCUUAAAGUUUGUAAAUUUCAGAUUUGCCUAUUCACCCCCCCUCUAGGCGACUUUCACAAAGUAUGCAUUCAUCUUUCUUAUUAGGCUUAUUUAGGUCAAGUGAGAGUUUGUGCUUGUAACUCUUAGUGAUUGACACCACCUAGAUUGCUUGGUGGCAAUCAGAUGUUUGUGUCCAACUCAUGAUGUAAUAAGUUAUGAGUGAUGCACCAUGUCAAAGAGGCAAAGUAUCAAGCCAUAAAGAGCACUUGAUUCUUACACAGAUUAAGGGGGAACCAUACCAUUGCAAGGGUGCCCCAACGAGGACUGGUGGAGAGUGUCGACUCUCCAACAUCUCAGGAAAAUAUUGUUUGUUCUUAACCCUUCUAUACUUUGAUUAUUUACUUUUGAGC